UACGAAGGGGGCUAGCGUUACCCGGAUUGACUGGGCGUAAAGGGCGCGUAGGCGGAUGGUACAGUCAGACGUGAAAUUCCUGGGCUCAACCUGGGGGCUGCGUUUGAUACGUGCUGUCUGGAGUUCGGAAGAGGGUCGUGGAAUUCCCAGUGUAGAGGUGAAAUUCGUAGAUAUUGGGAAGAACACCGGUGGCGAAGGCGGCGACCUGGUCCGAUACUGACGCUGAGGCGCGAAAGCGUGGGGAGCAAACAGG
rnacentral:rRNA from 1 species